rnacentral:rRNA from 1 species
UUGAACGCUGGCGGCAUGCCUUACACAUGCAAGUCGAACGGUAACGGGCCUUCGGGUGCCGACGAGUGGCGAACGGGUGAGUAAUACAUCGGAACGUGCCCGAUCGUGGGGGAUAACGAGGCGAAAGCUUUGCUAAUACCGCAUACGAUCUACGGAUGAAAGCAGGGGACCGCAAGGCCUUGCGCGGACGGAGCGGCCGAUGGCAGAUUAGGUAGUUGGUGGGAUAAAAGCUUACCAAGCCGACGAUCUGUAGCUGGUCUGAGAGGAUGAUCAGCCACACUGGGACUGAGACACGGCCCAGACUCCUACGGGAGGCAGCAGUGGGGAAUUUUGGACAAUGGGCGCAAGCCUGAUCCAGCCAUGCCGCGUGCAGGAUGAAGGCCUUCGGGCUGUAAACUGCUUUUGUACGGAACGAAAAGCCUUCUUUUAAUACAGGAGGGUCAUGACGGUACCGUAAGAAUAAGCACCGGCUAACUACGUG